CCCGGGGGGUGCUCUGGCCACAGUGAUAUCACCAUGAGACCCCUUAAGCUGGUUUCCUCUAGCUCCUUCCUCAUUUCUUGGGGAUUACUGGGUUCAGGCCUACUCCUCAGGGACCCAGGAAGUGAAGGCACGAGGAGCGCUGGGGCUCAGCGUGGGAGCAGAGAAGGAGGAGCUGACGUGACCCUCUCGUCCCAGCUUUGUGGCUCAUUUGCCGUAGAGACUUUGCAGAACCCUGGAACAGAGCUGCCUGUCUGCAGAGUGGAGGCUUAGGAAGGGCUUUGGAAUCUAGGCUGCUUUGCAGCGAGCAUGUAGAGUCAGACAGUGUGACAGCACAUCACCAGCAAAGGAAAGAAGCUGGAGGUGGACGCGGGAUUCAGUGGAGAGUCAGAAUCACAAAUGGCUGGAGACAGACCAAGGCCUUGUGGGAACCUGCAGGCGGGAGCAAGCAUGGAUGGCAGAAAGGGGAAAAGAGCUGAUUCAGUCCUUGCGAGUAUCAUAGCGUUGUUAAGAAAUCCCAGGGUCCUUAGACCCUCUGACCGUGGAGGUAAUUGCGCUUUGGGCAACACUGACAGAAGCAUUUGGUUU
rnacentral:lncRNA from 1 species